UGGUGAGUAACACGUAAGCAACCUGCCUAUCAGAGGGGAAUAACAGUGAGAAAUCAUUGCUAAUACCGCAUAUGCUAACAGUAUCGCAUGAUACAGUUAGGAAAGGAGCAAUCCGCUGAUAGAUGGGCUUGCGUCUGAUUAGCUAGUCGGUGGGGUAACGGCCUACCAAGGCGACGAUCAGUAGCCGGACUGAGAGGUUGAACGGCCACAUUGGGACUGAGAUACGGCCCAGACUCCUACGGGAGGCAGCAGUCGGGAAUAUUGCGCAAUGGAGGAAACUCUGACGCAGUGACGCCGCGUAUAGGAAGAAGGUUUUCGGAUUGUAAACUAUUGUCGUUAGGGAAGAUACAAGACAGUACCUAAGGAGGAAGCCCCGGCUAACUAUGUGCCAGCAGCCGCGGUAAUACAUAGGGGGCAAGCGUUAUCCGGAAUUAUUGGGUGUAAAGGGUGCGUAGACGGAGAAACAAGUUGGUCGUGAAAUCCCUCGGCUCAACUGAGGAACUGCAACCAAAACUAUUUCCCUUGAGUGUCGGAGAGGAAAGUGGAAUUCCUAGUGUAGCGGUGAAAUGCGUAGAUAUUAGGAGGAACACCAGUGGCGAAGGCGGCUUUCUGGACGAUAACUGACGUUGAGGCACGAAAGUGUGGGGAGCAAACAGGAUUAGAUACCCUGGUAGUCCGCACUGUAAACGAU
rnacentral:rRNA from 1 species